rfam:Saccharopolyspora erythraea NRRL2338 complete genome
CCGGCACCGGUUCACCGCGCGGCGCGGCCGCGUGGACCCGGCGGCC